GUUUCGUCCACGUGAGCCAUGAUCUGGGUCAGAGGAGAAGCAGCAUUUGUGAGAACUUCCACAGGUCCCCUCUGGCUCUGUGUGGACCCCCAACCUGGCCUGGCGUCUACCUCGGAGUCGCUCUCUUCAGCCGGGGAGGCCUCACGCAAUCUCCAUCAAGCCUUUCGUCACCAUCAUGGAAGGACAGAACUAGAACAGCCCAAGUCAUUUCUUUACCAGCACUGGGAAGAGAACAGAAGGCACUGGAAGUGCAGUGCGUUUACAGGGAACGUCUCACCUCAGUCUACAGGCCCAGUGUGGUCCGCCCCUGCCUCUCACUCCAGCUCUACGGAGUACCACUGUCUUGUGUGCUCUGGUCUCUGCUGCACUGCUUUUCUGUCAGUUCUUUAAAGACACCGUGUUCCCUCCCACUCCUCUGCCUGGAGGGCUCCUCCCCAGGCUAUGUGCAUAGCUGACUUCUCAUCCUUUGUGGCUGGCUCUCAGCUUCGUGCCUCCUCAGAGAGUCCUUCUAAAAUUGAGUUCCACUUCUCGCUCCCCAUCUCGUUAACACCCUCACCCUGAUUUGUGAAUAUAUAUUUAUCUCACGUUGAUUUGUUUAAGGUCUGCCUUCACCGGUAGACAGUGAACUCCAUGAGGGCAGGGAUCUUGUAUGUUUGCGCACCAUUGUAUCCCCAGCAUCUAGAACCAUGCCUGGCUUAUGAUAAGUGAAUUAAUGAUUUGCUGAAUGAGCUAUAGCAGAGGGAGCCCUCUGUGGUCCAGUGGAGGCCCAGAGUUUGGGCCAUAGCAAGAAUUGCCUGGGACAGAAGCAGUUAGCUGGGGAAUUGGACAGGACUGCAGAGCCCACUUUUCCUCAUAUGAUCUGAGACAAGAAGAGACAUGAGGGGUAAAGAGACAGAAGGCACUAGGAGAGAUAGUAAUGGUGAUUCUGGGCUCCUUGUUUCUUGUUUGUCUUAGUUUUCCUCCAGCUCCUAACACAGUAUCUGGAAUAUUGGAGGUACUCAAUAAAUGUUGGUUAAGUUGAAUGAACAAGCACGCUUUUGUGUACCUUUUCUGAAGCAUUUUUACCUCAUUGUCUCCUUUGAUCCUCACAACAACCCUGGGAGGUGGUAUGAGCCCAUCCCUGCUUUACCAAGUGAGCCCAAGAAAGACGGCAAAUUAGGCUCUGAGAAGAGUCAGUAAACAGCUUUCACAUCUUGCCAGAGGCUCCAGAACGUUAUUACUUCUUAUCACUGCCCUCUGACAUUCUAAUUAAUUCUAAUCACAGUGGCUCUUGAAAUAGCCAUUAUCUUUAAGCCUCCUGCGCCUCUGCUCUGAAUGAGAUGACACUGCAGCCAGCAGCUGCAGAGAUGGGAAUAGAGCAAGCAGGUCAGCUGGCAUCCUCUGGCCAGGGGCCUCCAC